rnacentral:sRNA from 1 species
UUAGCCCCGAUUGAAGUGGCAUCCUUUUUAAUUGUCAGUUCGAGUGAAUUUGUGAAGAAUGAGUAAAUUUGUACCUGCCUGUCGGUAGAUAGGUCGAGAACAAAUUAAAAAGAUAUAACGGAAAGCGGGAAUUAG